AGCGAUGAUGAGGCUAAGCCCUCCUGAGGGGUGAUGAGAGCGGUCACCUCUGAGCA
rnacentral:snoRNA from 1 species